GGCUGGUCUGAUGGUAGUGGGUUAACAGAACUUAUUAACAUUAGUGUCACUAAAGUUGGUCUACAACUCCCCCGCUGCUAAAUCUGAUUGGCUUAAA
rnacentral:Y_RNA from 1 species